CACGUAGGGGGCAAGCGUUGUCCGGAUUUACUGGGCGUAAAGAGCGCGUAGGCGGAGAUCUAAGCGUGGCCUGAAAGCCCCCGGCUCAACCGGGGAGUGCGGCUGCGAACUGGGUUUCUUGAGGACGAUAGAGGAGAGUGGAAUUCCUGGUGUAGCGGUGAAAUGCGUAGAUAUCAGGAGGAACACCCGAGGCGAAGGCGGCUCUCUGGGUCGUACCUGACGCUGAGGCGCGAAAGCGUGGGGAGCGAACGGG
rnacentral:rRNA from 1 species